CUACGUGCCAGCAGCCGCGGUAAUACGUAGGGAGCGAGCGUUAUCCGGAUUUAUUGGGUGUAAAGGGUGCGUAGACGGAAAUGCAAGUUAGUUGUGAAAUACCUCGGCUUAACUGAGGAACUGCAACUAAAACUAUAUUUCUUGAGUAUCGGAGGGGUUUGUGGAAUUCCUAGUGUAGCGGUGAAAUGCGUAGAUAUUAGGAAGAACACCGGUGGCGAAGGCGACAAACUGGACGAUAACUGACGUUGAGGCACGAAAGUGUGGGGAGCAAACAGGAUUAGAUACCCUGGUAGUCCACACCGUAAACGAUGGAUACUAGGUGUUGGCAAUGAAUAAUUGUCGGUGCCGGCGCUAACGCAAUAAGUAUCCCACCUGGGGAGUACGACCGCAAGGUUGAAACUCAAAGGAAUUGACGGGGGCCCGCACAAGCAGUGGAGUAUGUGGUUUAAUUCGAAGCUACGCGAAGAACCUUACCAAGGCU
rnacentral:rRNA from 1 species